GUCGUCUACGCGCUCAAGCGACAGGGCCGCACCCUCUACGGUUUCGGAGGCUAGAUUCAUGUAGUCCGCCAGCAGUGGGGCAACUUCCUCGUUUGCUCUCUGUGAUGUGUGCUGUGGUAGAUGAGAUUUACUGGUUUGCGUGUGUUGUUGUGUUCUGUCUUGGGGUUCAGUAGGCUCUGUAAUAGCUACGCCGUCACCUACACCGAGCACGCCCGCCGCAAGACCGUCACCGCCAUGGAUGUCGUCUACGCGCUCAGGCUUCCGAGGCUAGAUUCUGUUAGCGUCCCAGGCCCAGCUCCCAACCUCCGGCAUAUGUUCAGACGUUUCCGAUGCGCAUCGGACACACCACACAAGCAAAGAGCCCACCACAUCCCAAAAGACUAGCCUGAAGGGAGUGUGGCACUCCUCCUUAUAAGGUGGUCCUAGCCCCCUCCCAUAUCCGAGGUGGGACUAAAGUCACUGGCAAUGCCCAAUGGCCAGCGUCUCUGACACCCCAUCCCCCUAAACAGGGCGGACUGGGGCCCAGCUCUGAUACCAAUUGUUAGCGUCCCAGGCCCAGCUCCCAACCUCUGGCAUAUGUUCAGACGUUUCCGAUGCGCAUCGGACACACCACACAAGCAAAGAGCCCACCACAUCCCAAAAGACUAGUCUGAAGGGAGUGUGGCACUCCUCCUUAUAAGGUGGUCCUAGCCCCCUCCCAUAUCCGAGGUGGGACUAAAGUCACUGGCAACGCCCAAUGGCCAGCGUCUCUGACAAAUUCGCAGUGGUGCCAGUAGUGGGGCAACUUCCUCGUUUGCUCUGUGAUAUGUGUGCCGUGCUAGAUGUGAUUUACUGCUUUGGCGUGCGUCUAGGCUGUGUAAUACCAUGUUCUGUUCAAUGCAAUCAGUUCGAUUCUGAAUCCUG
rnacentral:lncRNA from 1 species